AGCGAACGCUGGUGGCAGGCUUAACACAUGCAUGUCGAGCGGGCAUAGCAAUAUGUCAGCGGCAGACGGGUGAGUAACGCGUGGGAACGUACCUCUUGGUUCGGAACAACACAGGGAAACUUGUGCUAAUACCGGAUAAGCCCUUACGGGGAAAGAUUUAUCGCCGAAAGAUCGGCCCGCGUCUGAUUAGCUAGUUGGUGAGGUAAUGGCUCACCAAGGCGACGAUCAGUAGCUGGUCUGAGAGGAUGAUCAGCCACAUUGGGACUGAGACACGGCCCAAACUCCUACGGGAGGCAGCAGUGGGGAAUAUUGGACAAUGGGCGCAAGCCUGAUCCAGCCAUGCCGCGUGAGUGAUGAAGGCCCUAGGGUUGUAAAGCUCUUUUGUGCGGGAAGAUAAUGACGGUACCGCAAGAAUAAGCCCCGGCUAACUUCGUGCCAGCCGCCGCCGUAA
rnacentral:rRNA from 1 species